GUCUUUCUUAGAACAUAUAUUAAACUAUCAAACAUCUUUUAAAUAUGUGACUAGAAAAAAAAAAUCAAAUCUUGUUUCUUCCCCUUCACAAUUCUUCGAGAGUGAGUCUCUUUCCUCUUUUCAUUUUGUUUUCUUCACGAGUUUUUUCUUGCGCCUUUUCAUUUGUUGUUUAAAGAAAAAUAACUGAAAAUUGAGUUUUGAAU
rnacentral:lncRNA from 1 species